AGAGUUUGAUCAUGGCUCAGAACGUACGCUGGCGGCACGCCUAACACAUGCAAGUCGAACGAAGUAGCAAUACUUANUGGCAGACGGGUGAGUAACAUGUAGGUAUCUGCCCUUUGGCCUGGAAUAACACGAGGAAACUUGUGCUAAUACCGGAUAAGUCUUUACGGAGAAAGCUUUAUGCACCAUNGGAUGAGCCUGCACNUUGAUUAGUUUUGUUGGUGGGGUAAUGGCCUACCAAGACUGUGAUCAAUAGCUGAUU
rnacentral:rRNA from 1 species